rnacentral:rRNA from 1 species
ACGGGUGAGGAAUACAUCGGAAUCUGCCUUGUUGUGGGGGAUAACGUAGGGAAACUUACGCUAAUACCGCAUAAGACCGAAAGGUGAAAGUGGGGGACCGCAAGGCCUCACGCGACAAGAUGAGCCGAUGUCGGAUUAGCUAGUUGGUGAGGUAAUGGCUCACCAAGGCGACGAUCCGUAGCUGGUCUGAGAGGAUGAUCAGCCACACUGGAACUGAGACACGGUCCAGACUCCUACGGGAGGCAGCAGUGGGGAAUAUUGGACAAUGGGCGCAAGCCUGAUCCAGCCAUGCCGCGUGGGUGAAGAAGGCCUUCGGGUUGUAAAGCCCUUUUGUUGGGGAAGAAAUCGUACGGGGUAAUAUCCCGUGCGGAUGACGGUACCCAAAGAAUAAGCACCGGCUAACUUCGUGCCAGCAGCCGCGGUAAUACGAAGGGUGCAAGCGUUACUCGGAAUUACUGGGCGUAAAGCGUGCGUAGGCGGUUCGUUAAGUCUGUCGUGAAAGCCCUGGGCUCAACCUGGGAAUUGCGAUGGAUACUGGCGAGCUAGAGUACGGUAGAGGAUGGUGGAAUUCCCGGUGUAGCGGUG